AAACAGGAUGAGCAGCAGCUCUAACGAAUUUUUGCCACGAUCCACAAAAUCUCCAUUGAAGACGUACGGUCUCUCAGAGGACGGCAAACCAUUCUGGACAAAUGAAGUUCAAGGUGGAGACAUGAUUGAUGUUUGUAAGAAUUCGUAAAAGUCUCCAAGUCUCUCCAAGAAGCUGCAAAACAUACCGAGCAUGGAGCUGCUACUGGGGGAAAAAAAAACAGACUGGAAGAUGUUCCAUGUGCACCUGCGUCUGAUCUCCAGUCGAGCCACAUACUGACGGUACCAGCGCUGGAUCAACAGAGCUGCUCUGAUGGCUGAGACAGAAGAAGGAGAUUGACUGUCUUUCCAGUGUGUAGGCCAUUUAUUUUUUUUAAUUCACUAUGUCAGAUCUAGACUGACUGACUCACCAAUGGCAGCUUCACAGGGUGCAUUAAAUGUUAGUAAACAUUGCAAAAGGUCAGUGUUGAGUCAAUCUGACAUUUUUUCUUUGAUUUUUUUUUUCUUUUUUCUUUUUUCUUU